GAUAAACGCUGGCGGCGUGCAUAACACAUGCAAGUCGAACGAAGUGGCGAACGGUUGAGUAACACGUGAGUAACCUGCCUUACACAAGGGGAUAGCCUUUGGAAACGAAGAAUAAUACCCUAUAGUGUAAGAUGGACUUGCGUCUGAUUAGCUAGUUGGUGAGAUAAAAGCCCACCAAGGCGACGAUCAGUAGCCGGCUUGAGAGAGUGUACGGGCACCUUGGGACUGGGACAAGGCCCAAACGCGACGGGAGGCAGCAGUGGGGAAUUUUGCACAAUGGGGGAAACCCUGAGGCAGCGACGCCGCGUGAUUUAGAAGGCCGGCGGGUUGUAAAAAUCUUUUUUAUGGGAUGCAGUACCAUAAGAAUAAGGUCCGGCUAAAUACGUGCCAGCCGCCGCGGUAAUAC
rnacentral:rRNA from 1 species